UGGGGAAUCUUGGACAAUGGGGGCAACCCUGAUCCAGCGAUGCCGCGUGAGUGAAGAAGGCCCUCGGGUCGUAAAGCUCUUUAGGUUGGGAAGAAGGUUAUGCGUGGAUAAUACGUGUAACUUGACGGUACUAACAGAAUAAGCACCGGCAAACUCUGUGCCAGCAGCCGCGGUAAUACAGAGGGUGCAAGCGUUAAUCGGAGUUACUGGGCGUAAAGGGUGCGUAGGCGGUUAAAUGGGUGUGAUGUGAAAGCCUUGGGCUUAACCUGAGAAGUGCAUCGCAAACUAUUUGACUGGAGUAUAUGAGAGGGUGGCGGAAUUUCCGGUGUAGCGGUGAAAUGCGUAGAGAUCGGAAGGAACGUCAAUGGCGAAGGCAGCCACCUGGCAUAAUACUGACGCU
rnacentral:rRNA from 1 species